rnacentral:rRNA from 1 species
GACGAACGCUGGCGGCGUGCCUAAUACAUGCAAGUAGAACGCUGAAGGAGGACCUUGCUUCUCUGGAUGAGUUGCGAACGGGUGAGUAACGCGUAGGUAACCUGCCUGGUAGCGGGGGAUAACUAUUGGAAACGAUAGCUAAUACCGCAUAAUAGUAGCUGUUGCAUGACAUUUGCUUAAAAGGUGCAAUUGCAUCACUACCAGAUGGACCUGCGUUGUAUUAGCUAGUUGGUGAGGUAACGGCUCACCAAGGCAACGAUACAUAGCCGACCUGAGAGGGUGAGCGGCCACCCUGGGACUGAGACACGGCCCAGACUCCUACGGGAGGGAGCAGUAGGGAAUCGUCGGCAAUGGACGGAAGUCUGACCGAGCAACGCCGCGGGAGUGAAGAAGGUUUUCGGAUCGGAAAGCUCUGUUGUAAGAGAAGAACGAGUGUGAGAGUGGAAAGUUCACACUGUGACGGUAUCUUACCAGAAAGGGACGGCUAACUACGUG